CUAGCCCUGCCGAAAACAUUUGCAUUUUGCAAUAAAGACCUUUGUUAACUGCUAGAAGUGCUGGAUUCUGUUACUAUUAAGUUAAUAGACAUAAAGCAGACUAAAGUGAAAAAUGUAUACCAUAUUUAUUAUUAAUAAACAACAUAAUUGUUCUGAGACUAGAAAAAUAAGCUUAUUGUAAUCUAAAAGAAAGAUAGACGUUAAUUGAAAUAAUAAAAUUUCACCUUAAUGUUAUGAACAGCAGUGAUGUGAUUUCUAAUGCCUGACUUUGUGUUAGAAGAAAACAUAAGGUUUACUCAUGUUUAUAAAAUUGCUUUAAUAUUUGUCUGAUUGUUUUAUGAUUGUAAAAAUUAUUUUAAUAAUUUAACUAAUAUGACGUGUGUAUCUCUACAUUUUGUGAUUUAGUUUUGCAUAGAAACAUUCACCAAUUAAUGUGUUCCACUUUUCUGUGCAAUCAUGACUUGCAGAUACCUAAGAACAUUGCCCACAAGAUGAACUUACUCUCUAUAUAACUCAACCCAUAUCUGCUGCAGUAACUCCAAUUUUCAUGCAGGAAGAUCAACAUUCUCAUAUUCCAUAUUUAAUUGGGUUACAGUCGGGAGUUUAGGGGUGAAGGCAGUGUGGUGAAUUUAAAUUUCUCCAACCACUCAGUAAUUAUGCAAGCCUGAUGACAGUGCAUUGUCCUGUUGAAAGAUGGUAUUGUAGUCAGGAGACUAUCUGCAGAUAGAGAUGGAGAUAGUCAACUAACAGACUAUAGCACUAACUAUUCAGUAUUUGUGGAACAAUAACCAAUGGACUUAGGAUGUACCAGGAAAAAGCUUCCCAGACAAAAAUACUAUUUCUAAUGGCCUGUUGAACCCUGAUUUAUGCAAGCAGGGGAUUUCAUGCUAUUUAUAUCAAAUGCAAACCAGCCAUCAGCAUGAUGCAGCAGAAAAGGGUAUUCAUUCUAGAUCAGCGAUGGUGAACCUUUUUGGAUGCUUGGGUCAAAUUCGACUUUAUUGUCGCUUGCAGCACUUAUUCAUGGGUCAGUGGCAAAUUGGGGAGGUGACCUUGGGAGAAGGCAGAUCAACUUUAAGAACUGAGAAGCAAAAAACACAGGAUGCAAGUUUGUAAUAAAAUUGUAGUACUUUUAGUGAGGCAAAAAAGGGGAGAAAGAAAAUCUU
rnacentral:lncRNA from 1 species